CCUGGCCCAGGAUUAUUUGCUGAAUGAAAACAUUGAUGAAUUACGAAUGACCAUUAACUUCAUGAGCAGAAGACCAACACAUGGGGCAACCAUCCAUCCUUGGUGUCUUCCAGAAAGUCGGCUUCACUAUGUGCCAAGCACACUUGGCAUCUUUGCCCUCUGCAUACCUUCUCAGCACAGAAGCCGGAGGUCAGAUCCUGUUCCCUGGUGCUUCCCCUUGUGGCCCUGCAUGGCGUGGCUUGUCCUGUCUUGGGAACCGUGUGUAACAAACUAUCUUUUCAAUGGCAAUUAUCUCUGCCUCCAUCUGUUGGCCUCACCAUACCUGAAUAAUAAUAAAAAUCUACAUUUGAAAACACUGCCCCACUUCCAUAUUUGAAACA